rnacentral:rRNA from 1 species
CGGGGUGCAGCAGGCGCGAAAACUCUACAAUGCAGGCAACUGCGAUAGGGGGACAUCGAGUGGCAUCCACCUUGGGUGCCUGUCCCACCGUCUAAAAAACGGUGGUUAGCAAGGGCCGGGCAAGACCGGUGCCAGCCGCCGCGGUAAUACCGGCGGCUCGAGUGGUGGCCGAUAUUAUUGAGUCUAAAGGGUCCGUAGCCGGCUUUGCAAGUCCCCUGGGAAAUCCAGCGGCUUAACCGUUGGGCUUUCAUGGGAUACUACAUUGCUUGGGACUGGGAGAGGUAGGAGGUACUCGGGGGGUAGGGGUGAAAUCCUGUAAUCCCCCGGGGACCACCGGUGGCGAAGGCGUCCUACCAGAACAGGUCCGACGGUGAGGGACGAAAGCUAGGGGCACGAACCGGAUUAGAUACCCGGGUAGUCCUAGCCGUAAACGAUGCCCGCUAGGUGUCACGGCGGUCGUGAAUCGCCGUGGUGCCGUAGGGAAGCCGCGAAGCGGGCCACUUGGGAAGUACGGCCGCAAGGCUGAAACUUAAAGGAAUUGGCGGGGGAGCACAAGGGCGAUUCGCGG